rnacentral:rRNA from 1 species
UACGGAGGGUGCAAGCGUUAAUCGGAAUUACUGGGCGUAAAGCGCACGUAGGCGGUUCGUUAAGUCGGAUGUGAAAUCCCCGGGCUCAACCUGGGACCUGCAUUCGAUACUGGCGAACUUGAGUAUGAUAGAGGGGGGUGGAAUUCCAGGUGUAGCGGUGAAAUGCGUAGAUAUCUGGAGGAACAUCAGUGGCGAAGGCGGCCCCCUGGAUCAAUACUGACGCUGAGGUGCGAAAGCGU